rnacentral:lncRNA from 1 species
CACCGUUCCCGGUGCAUUCGGUCAACGGGACGAAUCAAAUUACCAAAAAGUGUCUUCUGUCGAUAUUCGGCACAAAAACCCCUUUUUUCGUACUAAAAUCCUCGACUUGCUAACGCAGAUAGGAGCAACAUUGUGCUUGAAAGAUGGAACACUCAGUUUCGGUAAGACGACUGAGGCCAUAAAAUUCCACAGGUGCACUGACUUCAACCAUACUAGCGUAGAUGACGUAGACGCACCACCGCCCAUAAAAGAGAAAUUUAUGCAGAUGUUGAAUAGAAGGAGUGCGGCUUUUGCCAACCCUAACGGGACACUACCUUACAACACUUCGGUAGUUGCCACCAUUCGCACGGUGGAAAAUGAACCCAUAUACUCCUAGCUAUACCCUUACCCUAACGGGGUAGCCAAUUUUGUUGAAUCCGAGGUCAGGAACCUCCUGAAGGACAACAUAAUUCCCAAGUCCAGAUCACCAUAUAACAAUCCCAUAUGGGUGGUGGACAAAAAAAGGCACUGAUGAACAGGGCAACAGGAAGAAACGUCUAGUAAUGGACUUUCGGAAACUCAACGAGAAGACAGUGGCCGACAAAUACCCCAUGCCGAGCAUCUCAAUGAUCUUAGCCAACCUGGGGUCGCCAAGAUAUUUCACCACACUCGACCUAAAAUCCGGUUACCACCAAAUAACUUUGGCGGAGUGCGACCGAGAAAAAACCUAAUUUUCCGUGCAUGGGGGAAAGUACUGCCCUUCGGUCUUCGGAAUGCGGGAAGCAUUUUCCAGAGGGCAAUCGAUGAUGUUUUGCGCGAACAAAUCGGCAAAACAUGCUACGUCUACGUCGAUGACGUAAUUGUCUUUUCUUAAACCCAAGACGACCAUGUGAGACAUGUUGAUUGGGUACUUAAAAGCCUAUACGAGGCAAACAUGAGAAUAGCUCAAUUUUUAAAGAAAGCGUCGGUUUAUUGUGACAAGUAAUGGCACAAAGACAGACCCAGAGAAGGGUAAGGCUAUCCAGCAUUACGCGGAGCCAAAUACAGUUUUUGCACUUAGGUCAUUAAUGGGCCUUGCAAGCUACUACCGCUGCUUCAUAAAAGACUUUGCUGCUAUUGCAAAGCCUCUCUCAGAUAUUCUGAAAGGUUAAAACGGGUCGGUAAGCAAAUACAGAUCAAAGAAAAUCUUGAUUGACCUUAACGAGGCUCAGAGCCAUGCGUUCCAAAAGCUCAAGAACAUCCUUGCAUCAGAAGAUGUCAUGCUGAUGUAUCCUGACUUUUAAAAACCCUUUGACUUAACUACGGACGCUCCAGCCUAUGGCAUAGGUGCAGUCCUUUCCCAAAAUGCGAAACCAAUCACGAUGAUAUUCCGAGCUCUAAAAGACAGGGAGGCAAACUACGCGACUAACGAGCGUGAGUUGCUGGCCAUCGUCUGGGCCCUAGCCAAACUUUGGCACUACAUCUAUGGGGUAAUGGACAUAAACAUCUUUACAGACCACCAGCCGCUUACAUUUGCGGCUCGCAUUGACGAGCUUGGGGCCAAGCUUUUCUAUAAGCCAGGCAAAGAAAAUCACGUUGCUGACGCACUGACUCGACAAAAUGUCAACGCGUUGGAAAGCGCCCCACAGUCGGACGCAGCGACGGUUCAUAGCGAGGUAUCGCUUUCCUAUACUAUACAAACUAUGGAUAAGCCCGUCAAUUGUUUUAGAAACCAGAUAGUUCUAGAGGAAGCCCAAUUCUCUCUAAAGCAAGUCUUCAUUCUCUUCGGGGAAAAGACUCGGCCUAUCGCAUUGCAAGAAUCUUGUCGUAGACUUAUUUGAUGAUAAUGAGAGGAAAGAAAUCAUCACGGUAGAACACAAUCGAGCUCAUAGAGCCGCUCAGGAAAAUGUAAAACAGGUUUUGACCGAUUACUAUUUUCCCAAAAUGACUAAAAUGGCAAGCGAGGUAGUCAUGAACUGUAAGAUUUGCUCCCGAGCAAAGUAUGACAGACACCCUGGGAAACAGGAACUAGGCACGACGCCAAUUCCGUCGUGCACGGGAAAAAUGCUGCAUGUUGAUAUAUUCUCAACCGAUAGGAAAUACUUCCGCCACUCCACAGUACAUCGAACGGCCAGGUGGAAAGGUUCCACAGUACUUUGGUGGAAAUUGCCAGGUGCCUCAAAAUGUAG